CGAUUACUAUAAAUUUAAUGCACACGGAAUAUUUCAAGAGCUUUAUAUUUAAAUGUGACUUCAAUCGUUAUAUGAAAAUGGUCGAGCUUUAUAUUUGCUGGAAACAUUGUUGUCGACAAUGAAAACUAUAACAAGGCAUUAGUUUCAGAUUUAUCCUUUGAAUUCGAAGAGUCUUUUACCAGGAAGUCUUUUUACUCUGAUCGAGUUGAGAGAAAGGGCUGCCAAAUUUGCCAAGUGCACUGUUGAAAUUCAGAUGGCAUGAUUUACGAUCGGUCCUAUAUCGCGUUACGGGGUAUGGGCAGCAGACUGGAGUAAAUCAUUAUUGAACUCUGGAUCCAGAUUAUGAAGCUUCUCAGGUUGAUUGUCCAUGCAGUUGAUUAAUCUAGUUUUUUCUAUAUUUUGUGCAAAAUCAGAUAUUAUAUGCCUUUUCUCAAACCUUUCUCUGAAAUAUUCCUUCUGUGCAUGCUUUAUCAUCCACUACAUUGAAUUCCUUGGCCAAAUGGCUCAACAAGGGUGUAUAUAUAGAGGCCGGAAAAAGGUUCACUGGAGCCCAUCUUCGCGCGCUGCUCCUGCUGAGGCCGGAGUUGGAAUAUCCAGAAGGGCAUGUUUCAAAAAGUACACAUGCCAUGUUCAAGUUAGUCAGUGCCUCUCCAUCUUUGGGUAGCUCAAUAGACGAGUUUCUACCCAACUUGUGCUUGGCUAUGUGGACGACGACCCCAUGGACAGUUCCAGCAAAUGCAGACUGGAUGCAGGGUUAAAUUCUUUAUUUGGCGAUGUGCACCUGUUGCAGCUAAUGGGAAACUCUAGUAUAUGCCAUAGUCGAAGUGGAUUCUGUAUCAGGAGCUGCUUCUCAACCUGGAGGGGACAUUGCAAGCAAAAUGGGGCUUGAGAUUCUCUGUGAAGAAAGUCCUACUUGGUUCAGAUCUUGAAAACUGCAGGUGCGCCCAUCCAAUAGAUAACAGGGAAUGCAUUACGAUGGGGUCAGGAACUGGGAUGGUCCAUACAGCUCCUGGUCAUGGUCAAGAGGAUUACCAAACAGGCCAGAAGUACGGACUGCCAACUCUUUCUCCUGUAGAUGAUGAUGGGAAGUUCACUGAAGAGGCUGGACAAUUCAGUGGAUUAGAUGUGCUUGGAGACGGCAACACGGCAGUAGUAAACUACUUGAAUGAACAGUCGGUGUUAGUAAUGGAGGAAC